GGGUGGGGAUGGAAGUCCGGAGAAAUGGUUUGCGGUCUUGGCUCUGCCUGUAACAACCCGAGUGACCUUGGGCAAGUCCCUGUCCCUCUCUGGGCCUCAGUUUCUCCACCUGUAUUUGGAGAGGGUUGGAAUGGGCACUGAAGUCCUGUCCAGCUCUGACCUUCUGUGAAGUGCACUGUUGAGCAGCUCUGGAAGCUUCUGUUCCAGCCAUAGCCACACAGAGGAGCAGCAGGCAGGCAUCAGGCCCAAACUGCUGCUCUCUGAUGGGCUUGGACCCCAUGAAAGUGGGGCCUGCUGGAUGCAUUUCCUGGGAUUCUGUGGAAGCUGAUCAGGUUGCUGGGGCAAGUGGAGGCAGGAUAGAGGUGAAGGGCUGUGGGAUGGAGAACCUCAGAAGACUCCAUCUGGGGUCCGGGAAAGGACAGAGAGGGUAUAUGAGGGGUCGGGCCCUCCAGAUCUAAGGGUGGGGUGGUGGCAUGUUUCUUGAGUUGGUUCCUGGAAAGGGAGCUGAAAUGGUUUAAUCGCUCUUCCAUGAAACGCAGGCGGUGAGGACAGCCACCAGACAGGUAAACACACUGUGCAUUGAUCCUUUUACGACUUUUGUGAAACUGAUGGACAGGCAGGCAGGGAGGAGUCCUGGGAGAGAGUCUGGGGCACUCCAUCUUGGGGUAACUCUUUUGCUCUCCUCCUUUAAUUAUAAUUAUUAAAUAAUUAAAUAAUAAAUAAUUAGAGAAGUGCACAGAUACAUAUGCCCCUGGACGUUCAGAUCAGCGUGGUGGAUAAUAGUAACGUUUCAGAAGUAGGGUCUGGUUAAAUAAACUACUGCACAUCUUUACCAAGGGAUGGUGCUUCCUAUGGAAAAAGUUUCCUAAGGAAAAAGGUUCCUGUGGAAAAAGGUUCCUAUGGAAAAUGCUUUCCUGAAGAGCACAUGCUUUGAAGGUGGCCAGACUUGGGUGGAAACUGAAACUCUGCUAGUGACUAGAUGUGUAAUUCAGGGAACAUUCCUUCACUCUUUCAGCUUCAGUUUCCUUAUCUUUAAAAGGAAAUGAUCAUAAUAGCACUUAUGCUGCUGUGAGAUUUAAAUGAGAUAAUGUGUCCACAGUACUCAGUACAGUGCCGGACACACAGUAAGCACUCAAACAA
rnacentral:lncRNA from 10 species